GUUCCUUUGUGGAGAGGUGUCCCGUGCCGGACGCGUCCACAAUGGCCGGCAAACAUUAUUUGGUAUCAGUUUAGAAAAUAACAUUGACCAUGGAUAGCAGAAAUCACAAGCCUGAACGACCUCAGUAAAAUCAGGCAUAUAGCAGAGGUGAAGGGGAUAAGAUGAAGCCAGCUUGAUGUCAUUUCGGCAGCCAGCAGACAUCACACCAGCUCCAAGCACGUCCAAAGAAUUCGACUUCACUUUUCCAUGGAAUGCAACGCAGGAUGAAAGCAGUCUGCCCAUCUAGAAGCAGUAGACGCGGCUACAACAACUACAAGCCGCCGAUACUCAGCCAGUAUGGAGGGAUGUCAUCGUCUCCGAUGCGUGAUACUACAAGCGCGUGUUACCGGUCUGAGUGACGGUGAGAGUCGCGACACGGGCGACACUGCAGCAACACCACGCGACAACACCUCAAUCACGCACGCGAUGUCUGAUCCUCUCUUGCAUGUUUUAUGUAUAACCGAACUUUACCUAUUCUGUUUACUAUUUUAAUCAUCUACGCUAAUUCAUUUUAUAAUCAUGUUCACUGGUAUUUCGCUUCUUGUAUACCGAUAUGUUUGUUUACUCUCUAAUCUAUUGAGAAUGUAUGCAAUUAAUUUGCAAGAUGUAAAAAUUUUGUAAACGUAGUAAGACGUCCCCCCGGGCAGCAGGGAUAUUGUGCGCGUACCACUGGUCCUGGGGGCUGGUUUUAAGGAACGAAUGACUAAUUGAAAGAUAUUUCCCGCUAGAGUGGGCUUUUUAAUAUUUAAUCAAAUUCUUGAUGUUAGCGUAGUUUAAUGUUAAUGAGACGCCGUAAUUACAUAACUCGUUUUAACGUCGUGUAUUACAAUUUCAGUAGUACGCCUGUCACUGUCCUACUUAGUUACAAGCCGUAUGCAACUAAUCUAUGCUUAAUGGAACUAAUUAAUUAUAAUCAUGAUAUUCUUAUUAUAUUAUAAUUAUUGUAAUCAAUAAUAAUAAAUAAAACAGACGCGGAA